UAUUAAAAAAACCCCUUUUCAGGAAAAUGACCAAAUAGCUGUUGAAAAUAUUAAAGGGACUUUUCUCAGAUAGUAAUUCUCUGCCUUUAUCGCUGAUUAAACCCCAGAAGAAAUGGCACUCAAGCUCAAUGCUUCGGCUGUGUACUCACUGCAGAACCUUCAAUUACGUCAUACAAAUCACAACUGCUUAUGGAGUUUAAAGCCAAACAGAUUGUAUCAGAAUACUGCAAGAACUUCGUGCAGUAUGAAUAUGGCUGCCAACCAGCCAGGUGAUCCUAAGAAAAUGAGCAUCACUCAUAUUGUGGACAAAGCAAGAAGUUUGUGGGAUACUUCUCCUCAGCCGGUCAAGACCUUUCCUUGGAACAGAACAUUGAAUCAUUUCAUUCAACUCCUUCUCGACCUUGUCUUGGUAGUUAUCAGAAUCCUAGCCCUACCUGUAUUUUCCAUUACAUCAAUCAGCGAAAUAUCUUAUUGUGCGCAUGAAAGGGAGCUAUACCUUGUCCCACUUCCGUUUCUAGUUGGUGUCGCUGCAGCUGGGGUGUUACAAAAUGCUGCUUUGGAAUCGUCUUCGUAUCUCAAGUAUGCAGAAGUACCGUGGCAUCUUAUUGCUCUUCUGAUAUUCUUUGCACUGCUCAAGUUUCCUGGCCCUUAUUACCCAUAUUGGGGCCGUAUACUCAUUCCUCACAUGGCAAACGGAGCAAUUUUGAGGACAUUGUGGUUCUUGUUUCUGUGGUUCCGGAAGCCCCAAAAGGCAGCAGAAAAUAACCACGCCAACUCUGUAGUCGACAAUCCUGAAGCAGACAAGGUCUUGUAGCAUCGUAAAACAGGUGUAGAUGCAGUCCUUCGGCCUUCUGCACAAAUAUUUGGAAGAGGUCCAGAUGGCAAUUGUUGAGGUGCACUGUGUUUUGCACUAGCUGGUGGUAUGUUGCUUUGCAAACAUAUGGAUAUUACAAAAUCAGCAUCAGGAGAUGGACCUAAAAAGCAGCAUGAGAAAUUGGUCUGUGACGUAGAUUCAUUUACACAGAAUUCUGUUAGUUCAGUAUUUAGUUAUAGUCCAGCUUCUAGAUUGAAGUUUGGCAAGUUACAAGCACAAUUCGGCUAUAAAAGCUCGUUUAAUUAAAAUACAGAAUUUUUUAUUUGAUACAACUCAUUUGUUUUACUUUAA